UAAGCGGAGGAGAAGAAACUAACCAGGAUUUCCCUAGUAACGGCGAGCGAACCGGAAAGAGCCCAGCUUGAAAAUCGCGUGGCCCCGCCCCGCGAAUUGUAGUCUGGAGAAGCGUCCUCUGCAACGGACCGGGCCCAAGUUCCCUGGAACGGGACGUCUUGGAAGGUGAGAACCCUGUAGAGUUCGGACCCUGUUGCUCCACGAGGCGCUGUCUGCGAGUCGGGCUGUUUGGGAAUGCAGCCCUAAGCGGGAGGUAAAUUCCUUCCAAGGCUAAAUACAGGCGAGAGACCGAUAGCGAACAAGUACCGCGAGGGAAAGAUGAAAAGGACUUUGAAAAGAGAGUUAAAGAGUGCUUGAAAUUGCUGGGAGGGAAGCGAAUGGAAGCUGCGGGUGCGCCUCGGUUGGAUGCGGAACGGCGGUUCGCUGGUCCGCCGCUCAACGCGGGGCGCUGGUCAGCGUGGGCCGCCGCGGCGGGACAAGAGCGGUCUGCCCUUCCAGGGCAGCCCCGCCUAUGCCGUUGCGGCGGCCGAGGGACGAAGCGCGCGGCCCCCUCCUCGGGGGGGGCCGGGCCCCCAAAGGGCACCUGCGCGCUCGGGACGCUGGCGCAUUGAGCUCUCCAUCCGACCCGUCUUGAAACACGGACCAAGGAGUCUAACAUGUAUGCGAGCCGGUGGGCGGCAAACCCAUUGAGGCGCAAGGAACCUGACAGGUGGGAUCCCCUCCUCGCGGGGGGGAGCACCAUCGACCGACCGUGAUCUUCUGUGAAAGGUUUGAGUGAGAGCAUACCUGCUGGGACCCGAAAGAUGGUGAACUAUGCCUGAGCAGGGCGAAGCCAGAGGAAACUCUGGUGGAGGCUCGUAGCGAUACUGACGUGCAAAUCGUUCGUCAGACUUGGGUAUAGGGGCGAAAGACUAAUCGAACCAUCUAGUAGCUGGUUCCCUCCGAAGUUUCCCUCAGGAUAGCUGGAGCUCGCGAAAGUUUUAUCAGGUAAAGCGAAUGAUUAGAGGCAUCGGGGGUGUAACACCCUCGACCUAUUCUCAAACUUUAAAUAGGUAAGCGGCCGGGGUUGCUCGGUUGAACCCCGGCGUUUUGAAUGAGAGCUCCAAGUGGGCCAU
rnacentral:rRNA from 1 species